rnacentral:rRNA from 1 species
CCUACGGGUGGCAGCAGUGGGGAAUAUUGCACAAUGGGCGAAACCCUGAUGCAGCAACGCCGCGUGAGUGAUGACGGCCUUCGGGUUGUAAAGCUCUGUCUUCAGGGACGAUAAUGACGGUACCUGAGGAGGAAGCCACGGCUAACUACGUGCCAGCAGCCGCGGUAAUACGUAGGAUGCGAGCGUUAUCCGGAUUCAUUGGGUGUAAAGGGUGCGCAGGCGGGCCUUUAAGCCGGCGGUGAAAUCGCGGGGCUCAACCCCGCCGAGCCGUCGGAACUGGGGGCCUUGAGUGCGGCGGAGGCAUGCGGAAUGCGCGGUGUAGCGGUGAAAUGCAUAGAUAUCGCGCAGAACCCCGAUUGCGAAGGCAGCGUGCCGUGCCGCCACUGACGCUGAGGCACGAAAGCGCGGGGAUCGAACAGGAUUAGAUACCCGAGUAGUC